AUGUCAGGAAGACACAGGUCGCUGCCUUCAUGGAUGGCAAAAAAAGAGGAGAAAAGCCAAGAAAAGAAGCCACUGAAGAGAAAGCGGAAAGCUGCCAGGUCUGCUUUCUACUGUAUGAACGAGCAAGAGCUGGUAGAAGCAGCUGUUUCCUAUUUCACAAACGGCUCAUGUGAGGACCUGACACUCGUGACUCGCCAGCAGGGUAAACAAAAAGCAGUGGACACAGUUAAGAAGAUGGGGAAAUCCACAAAUUCACAGCUGACAGCAAAUCCAGUUGCUGCAGAGGAGUCCCCAUCAGACUGCACUGAAGAUCUGGACAUGACGUAUGUUUCAGAAACAGACUUGGACAUUACAGAGGUGGAAACAUUACUGUACACCAGCAGCCCGCAGCAACAAACACCUGAGGGUCAGCGUUCAGGAACAGUUGAGAAUGUGGAGGCUGGGAAGACGAAUGAACCACCGCAGACAGCAGCAGAGGACAGCGAUGCCUUACGCCUUGUACGGGAAAUUUUUUUCAGCUGAUUAACUUAUUUGACACUAAAAAGUUUUUGCAUUAAACUGAAAAGUGUCAGUUGGGGGAAUGCUUCCUAAAUUACGAAUUCAGGUGAGAGUCCAGUCAGUACUUGAGGACACAUAGCUCACAGCUCAUCCAUAAAGAAAAAGUUUGGAGAACGGAUCCAUUAAUUGAUGUCUCAGAGAGGUACAUCCCAGCAGCGCUUCACAGGACUACAUACGGAGACAAGUAAUUAAUUCACCAAAGCUUCUGCACUGAAAUCAAAUUUCAGCGCUUCAGUCUAUGUUUCAUUGGUAUCAUCUAGCACCUCGUGUGAGGGGAACUACUUAUCUUACAGUGUGACAGUUACUUAAGUGUUGUGUUUGUUUUUUUGUCACUUGGGUCCAAACUCUAAUUCAACAUAAAAUUGACAACAUGGCAUUUUUUUAGGUUUACUGAAGGUUUUAAUGAGGAAAAAAAAACACAACGGUUUUUGUUUUCACAUGCAUGACACUGUAUAUGAAACUGACAGCAGUUGUGGGUUUUUCACCACAAAGGUUUGGUGUUAGAAAUGUUUCCACCAGAAGACCUAACAAGUUGCUGCUAGUACCCUGAGCAUGGUACUGUUGCAGUACAAGUGCCCUUGCUCUGUGGGGAGAAACUUGAAAAAAGCCUUGCUUUUGCAUUAAACUGGGUGUAAUUAAAGCAUACUGUUAUUCAUGUGAAGUAACUAGAAAUUGUAGUUACAGAAAUCACAUUACUGUUGCUCCUUGAAUAUAUGAGGUAGCAGAUAUAAGAACACACUUUGAAAAAUAAAUAUAUUCUUUAUUCCUCAUAGCUUAUAUAGAAAUAGCUAUCAGCACAAUUAGGGUACCACUCACGCAUCCACCAGCUGCACAUUUCAGACUCAACAGAUUUUUUGUUGUGUUAUACAUUAUGUGUCUUGGCUUUCAUAAACCACUUGAUAAAGUGAUACAAAGUGAUAUUACAGCACCAAAAGACACGUUAAACAUGUUGAGGGAUACAGCUUAUCAUUAAAUACAUCAUGACAGCAAUUAACAUAUUCUCCAAAGCAGAUUCGUGUGUAAUUGCAUUAAUAUAGCACUUUUCUACUUUUACGGACCACUCAAAGGUCUUUGUGAUAUGAUCAUAAUCGCUUUUUUAAACUGCACAGUCUGUGGCUCAUGUUUGCAUUUAAGCAGGGAUGAGCUUAAGCAUUUCGCUGCGUUCCCAGUGUGAUCUCAGUCGCUUACCUGACACAUGGGUCAGUGCAGAUGUGAUAGCCAGCUCCAUCACCACACCCAAAUAGAUAUAGAACCAAAUGGUUAUGUUUUGCCAGCUCACAUAUGACUGAUAGACAAACAAAAAACUACAAAGGCCAGCCAGGCUGAGCAAGCCUGCUCCGACCUGGAAAGUUGUGCUGCAAAAGAUAGCAGGUUCGUCAUUGUCAGAGAUGACUGAAUGCAUGCCCAUCAGGGCAAACGCCACAAUAAUCACUGGAAAAUACACAGCUAGGUAAACCGCUACUCUGACAGAGUUAGAAUGUGGCUUAGAUAAAGUCUCAGCUUCAGCUCCUUGGGAUUGCGAUAGCUCGUACAGGUGACUCUUAUGCACAUUAUCACAGGACCAUUCACCAGUUUGUUGGAUCUGACAGAAUCUGUAGGGGCUGAUGAGGACUUUAUCGGAGUGAAUGAACACACCAUCAAAAGGCACCAAGGAGAUCAUCAUCUGAACCAUGACAAGCAGGAGAAGCAGAAAGAUCCCACGAAUGUGACACAAGGGACUCCUCACAGCACAUCGGACUCUCUGCUCAGGCCACAUCCUCACUAAUCUGUAGAUUAAAUAAAGAGUCAUGCGAUGAAUCAAAACAAACAUUCUGCAAACUAAGCACGAGAAUGAUAUAUAUCAGAGCAGAAAAGAGAAGCUCAAAGUACCACAGAUCCUAAAGACGUUUGACUGUCUUGCAGCAUAAGAACACACUGAUGUUACAGUACAUGUGUCAGUGGUUUUGUGUUCAGCCUCAGUCAGCCGAUCAGCACGUUUACUUCCCCAAUAUGAAGGCCUUAUGUCAUAUAACUGUAUUCAUGUUCCUGUCAUCAUGACUAUACUGAACAACUAAUGCAUAAGCUUUCUAAAAGGAAAUCUACAACUGCCCAGGGCUUUAAUAACACACGAUUUAGUGGUUUCCAUUUAAAACUUUGACAGUGAACAUGCCUAGUUUAAUGGCAGAAUGUCUAGUUUGACUGAGUAAGGCAGAUCCUUUAAUUAUUAUUAUUAUUAUUAUUAUCGU
ensembl:lncRNA